rnacentral:rRNA from 1 species
UAGAGUUUGAUACCUGGCUCAGAUUGAACGCUGGCCGUACCUUGCACAUGCAAGUCGAACGGUAGAGCUCAACCCUCGACAGUGGCGAACGCUUGAGUAAUGCAUCGGAACGUGCCCAGUGGUGGCUAUAACACUUCGAAAGAAGUGCUAAUACCGCUUACGACCUGAGGGUGAAAGCGGACCGCAAGGCCUCGCGCGAUUGGAGCGGCCGAUGUCAGAUUAGGUAGUUGGUGGGGUAACUGCCCACCAAGCCGACGAUCUGUAGCUGGUCUGAGAGGACGACCAGCCACACUGGGACUGAGACACGGCCCAGACUCCUACGGGAGGCAGCAGUGGGGAAUUAGGGACAAUGGGCGCAAGCCUGAUCACAAUGCCGCGUGCGCAAGAAGGCCUUCGGGUUGUAAUGGCUGAGUCAGGGAAGAAACGCUCCGGGCUAAUACCCUGGGGUAAUGACGGUACCUGAAGAAUAAGCACGGGCUAACUACGUGCCAGCAGCCGCUACAUACGUAGGGUGCACUCGUUAAUCGGAAUUACUGCAGUAAUGCGUGCGCAGGCGGUGUAUAAGACAGAGGUGAAAUCCUUAACUCAACCUGGGAACUGCCUUUGUGACUGUAGGGCUAGAGUGCGGCAGAGACGAUGGAAUCCCGCGUGUAGCAGUGAAAUGCGUAGAUAUGCCCUGGCACCGAUGGCGAAGGCAAUCCGUGAUCCUGCACUGACGCUCAUGCACGAAAGCGUGCUGCAAACAGGAUUAGACACCCUGGUAGUCCACGGAUAAACGAUGUCAACUGGUUGUUGGGAGGGUUUCUAGUAACGAAGCUAACGCGUGAAGUUGACCGCGGAGUACGGCCGCAAGGUUGAAACUCAACUGAAUUGACGGGGACCCGCACAAGCGGUGCGGAUGUGGUUUCAUUCGACUGCAACGCGAAAAACCUUACCUACGCCUUGAACAUGGCAGGAACCUUGGAGAGAUCUGAGGGUGCUCGAUCGAGAACCUGCACACAGGUGCGGCAUGAUCCGUCAACUCGUGUCGUGAGAUGUUGAUUAAGUCCGGCAACGAGCGUAACCCUUGUCAUUAGUUGCUACGAUCGCACUCUAAUGAGACUGCCGGUGACAGACCGGAGGAAGGUGCAGAUGACGUCAGGUCCUCAUGGCCCUUCUGGGUAGGGCUACACACGUCAUACAGUGGCCGGUACAGAGCGCUGCCAACCCGCGAGGAGCCAAUCCCAGAAAACCGGUCGUAGUCCGGAUCGCAGUUCUGCAACUCGACUGCGUACUCGGAAUCGCUAGUAAUCGCGGAUCAGCUUGCCGCGGUGAAUACGUUCCCGGGUCUUGUACACACCGCCCGUCACACCAUGGGAGCGGGUUCUGCCAGAAACGUUAGCCUAACCGCAAGGAUUAAUGACCACGGCAGGGUUCAUGACUGGGGUGAAGUCGUAACAAGGUAACCA